UAGGGAAUCUUCGGCAAUGGACGAAAGUCUGACCGAGCAACGCCGCGUGAGUGAAGAAGGUUUUCGGAUCGUAAAACUCUGUUGUUAGAGAAGAACAAGGACGUUAGUAACUGAACGUCCCCUGACGGUAUCUAACCAGAAAGCCACGGCUAACUACGUGCCAGCAGCCGCGGUAAUACGUAGGUGGCAAGCGUUGUCCGGAUUUAUUGGGCGUAAAGCGAGCGCAGGCGGUUUCUUAAGUCUGAUGUGAAAGCCCCCGGCUCAACCGGGGAGGGUCAUCGGAAACUGGGAGACUUGAGUGCAGAAGAGGAGAGUGGAAUUCCAUGUGUAGCGGUGAAAUGCGUAGAUAUAUGGAGGAAAACCAGUGGCGAAGGCGGCUCUCUGGUCUGUAACUGACGCUGAGGCUCGAAAGCGUGGGGAGCAAACAGG
rnacentral:rRNA from 1 species